GCCGGGGUGGCAGAGUGGUAAUGCGCUGGUCUCGAGAACCAGUGGGUCUUCGGCCCUCAUGGGUUCAAAUCCCAUCCCCGGCGCCA
rnacentral:tRNA from 1 species